rnacentral:lncRNA from 1 species
UCUUGCACUAACAGCAUGUCCCCGCCGUAACCGACGUAGCGACGCCGAGCAUGAUCCUCACUUUGGCGUCGCGGACCCGCUGGCGCGGCGCGAUCUUGAUCCGCCAGAACCCGCGGCGGCGCCGUCCCUGGCUGCCGUCGAGGCGAUGGUACCCGCUCCUCUUCCAGAACCCCUUCAGUCCGCCCCGGUACAAAUCCAUCGUCGCCUUGUGACCGAGCGAGCAGGAGAGGUAAGUGCCGUUCAUUUGGUUGGAUGACGGUGGCGGCACCGUCGAUCUCAGAGCACUGUGUUUCAUUGCAGUGCAUGCACUGUGCUUCGUAGAAAGAUAACACGAAUCUAUUCUCGAUCUUCGUGGAACAUCUGCGGUUUCCUUUGGCAAGAAGAAUACGGUUUGCAGGCUCAGAUCGGACCGGCUGCGGAUGCAUCUGCAACCGGAAGUGAGGGAGCUUCAAGGCCGGUGCAAGUGGAAUCGCUUCUCUUUCGCUACAUGCUGACUGCAGCUGAGGCCCACCGGUGAGCGGAAACACACAUGGCCGGCUGUAGAAUCCUUGGAAUGUCAUCAGAUCAUUCCAAAUGAAAGCUGUACUCUUCUUGCAAUAUAUUCCGAUGUCGGCAAACGCUGCAUGCACCCGUUUUCGUAGUGCGGUAUACAAGAUGUAUUCUUAGCUUGGCGUGCA